ensembl:lncRNA
AUCUGUCUUCAAUAAGACACCAGUGCCACCAGUGCUACCCUUUGUAACAAGAAUAGUUGCUUGUUUCAGAGCUUGACUUUUUCAUAAUUUACCAAAUCAGGAAGUCAAGUCAGCAAAUAAUUUAACAAAAGAUUUCAUUAUUUUGUUUCAUUUAAUUUAAGAAAGAAUGUAACCUAUGUUCAGCGCCCAGGGCCCGGGCUUGCAUUCCUCCCACAUUCAAAUUCCCCUUUAAAGCCAAUGGGAUCUUGGGCUGUAUGAGGAACGCAGGACCAGCUCUGCUCUUUGGAUUCUCCUUAUUAUUUUAUGGCAAAUGCAUUUUAUUUUCAGGGAUUCUUCUACUUUGCCAUAAAUUUUGGAAUACAUGUCAGUUUGAGUUUAGGAUAAAGAAAAAAGGUAAAAAGGAAGAGGCUGACAUAUUAACCGAGAAAUUUACUACCCAGCCUCUUCUUUUUAUUAACAAAGAUCAUUAAGAUAUCAGUUUUUCUUUUACUGGCAGCAUUCCACAGCCAGAGUAUUCACAAUGUCUAGGACACUUUCAUUUUGUAAUCUGGAGGAUACAGUAUAUUAAUUUUCAGGAUUUAUCGCAAGAAAAGUGAAGUCAUACUAAGUACAGUAGGUGUAACUAACUUUCACAUCAAAAAAAGCUGUAAAGAGUGCCAGAAGCUCUGCCGGGCUAAUAAUAAGCUAAAAGGAUAUAAACUUGAUUAGUCUCACUUAAGAAGCAAGAAGAUAAAGUAAGCUUGAAAAGGCCUUUGCUCUUCCUUCAACUUCAGUGGGUUGAAGAGAAUCACGAAGCUUAUUGCCAUGAGAUACGUGCCAUAAUGCCAGCAACAUUAUUAGCUCUGGGAUAAUUUGCACUGCACUGCACUCCUCUGCAACCACACCCAAGUGGAGGAUGAGGGAUGCUUUAUCCCUUACUCUCGUGUAUCAUUUGUUAGGACAAGAGCUAAAUCAGCAGUAACUUGACUGAAAAAAUGACUUCUGGUUAUUCAAGAAGAAAAUCACUCCAGUUUGCAAUCCAAGUCCAGGGAAGAGCACACAGACCAGAGUUUGUGCUCCAGGAAAAGAGGUUGGACAACGGCUUUCCAUCAUUAAGCUUUUCCCCCAAGUUCCUUUGAUACCUUCCAUGCAGAGCAGCCAGGAGAUGCAGCAGCUCCCUCACCCUGACACCUUUGCAUAAUUCUCGCCUCCAAAAUUUCCUCCAAUAGAAAAUCCAAGUGCUCAGCCCUCCCAGCCCAGCACAUAUGCUGCUGUAACUGUUUCCAGCCUGUUUCUGCAACAGGAGGGACAAGAACAUGAAAUCUAACCACCAAGUGCCUCAAAAGGGUUUGGACUGGUCCAGGCUUCAAACUGCUUACUGUAGGAACAAGGAGGACAACAACCAUAGAUCUACAUUUGUUGUCCACAGGAGAGAAAAUGUUGCACCACUUGCUCCAAGGCACAGCUCGUGCAAGCAAUGAAAAAACUAUGCUCCCUUCAGCAAGAAACCUCCUAGGAAAGCACAAAGCCCUACCAGCUCAUGUUUCAGGAGGCCAGACGAACAAAAGGCUUAGCAGAGCUGGAUUCCCUGCAUGUAUGUGCCUCUGGUGUCUGACUAGGCUGCAGCUCCAUCAACAUAUCCAACAGAGCCCGGGGCAAAGCUGCAGAAAAACACCCAGCACAUUCAAUUUACAAACAGAAAUAAACACCUUUUCAGCAGGUUCUACAUAAUCACCAAGCAAAACCAGAGGAGGAAGGAAAAAAAAAAAAGCAGAACACAACAUUUUUUAUCUUGCUGGCGUGUGGCGGUGACCCUUUAUUUUCUCAAGGAAAUAAUGCUAUUAUUGAGAGAUGUCUAGCACUGGGAUCUGAAGCAGCAUCGCAAUCUCCUUGCGUGUCACUGCUGGCUCCGGUGUCCCACCUCAACAGAGCUGUGCCCACGCAGGGCUGUGUCCCUGGUCCCUGUGGGUGGCAUAUCCCUGUCCCCAUCCCCAGGACUGAGGCCACCUCUCCAUGCCGAAAGCACAGCCACACCACACAGCUUCAGCUGAGCGUGUGAAAAUGAACCAGAGAUGAAAACGUCUGAAGCAAUAAAUUAACACACACAGCAGGGGGUGAGAGCUUAAUCCUCCCUCGUGCAAACAGCCCCUGACACCCAUUCCGCGUAGAGGCGGUGAGACAUGGUGGCAGCACCAGAGUGUGAUUCCUCCUCCUAACAUGAUCUAAGGCAUUGCAGUGGGUAUGUGAUGUGCUUCUGGGAGGGAACUUGCUUUACAGUGUUUGUGCACUGCAUGCAGGUUAAGUCGCCCGUGCAUUUCUUUGGCUUCCUUGUUUUGAUUUGCUAAGAAAGAGUGUGCUUUAAGUUUAAGCAGAACUUUAUUAUUUUAGGUCUUUGCUGAACGUCU